rnacentral:rRNA from 1 species
GUGUCAGCAGCCGCGGUAAUACGGAGGGGGCUAGCGUUGUUCGGAAUUACUGGGCGUAAAGCGCACGUAGGCGGCUAUCCAAGUUGGGGGUGAAAUCCCUGGGCUUAACCCAGGAACUGCCUUCAAAACUGGAUGGCUAGAGUCCGAGAGAGGUGAGUGGAAUUUCCAGUGUAGAGGUGAAAUUCGUAGAUAUUGGAAAGAACACCAGUGGCGAAGGCGGCUCACUGGCUCGGUACUGACGCUGAGGUGCGACAGCGUGGGGAGCAAACAGGAUUAGAUACCCUGGUAGUCC